rnacentral:rRNA from 1 species
GACGUAGGGCGCGAGCGUUGUCCGGAUUUAUUGUGCGUAAAGAGCUCGUAGGCGGCUUGUCGCGUCGUCCGUGAAAACCUGCAGCUCAACUGCAGGCUUGCGGUCGAUACGGGCAGGCUAGAGUUCGGUAGGGGAGACUGGAAUUCCUGGUGUAGCGGUGAAAUGCGCAGAUAUCAGGAGGAACACCGGUGGCGAAGGCGGCAUCCUGGACCAACACUGACACUGAGGAGCGAAAGCCAGGGGAGCAAACGGG